AGUGAACGCUGGCGGUAGACCUAACACAUGCAAGUCGAACGGCAGCACAGUAAGAGCUUGCUCUUACGGGUGGCGAGUGGCGGACGGGUGAGGAAUACAUCGGAAUCUACUUUUUCGUGGGGGAUAACGUAGGGAAACUUACGCUAAUACCGCAUACGACCUACGGGUGAAAGCAGGGGAUCUUCGGACCUUGCGCGAUUGAAUGAGCCGAUGUCGGAUUAGCUAGUUGGCGGGGUAAAGGCCCACCAAGGCGACGAUCCGUAGCUGGUCUGAGAGGAUGAUCAGCCACACUGGAACUGAGACACGGUCCAGACUCCUACGGGAGGCAGCAGUGGGGAAUAUUGGACAAUGGGCGCAAGCCUGAUCCAGCCAUACCGCGUGGGUGAAGAAGGCCUUCGGGUUGUAAAGCCCUUUUGUUGGGAAAGAAAAGCAGCAGGUUAAUACCCCGCUGCUCUGACGGUACCCAAAGAAUAAGCACCGGCUAACUUCGUG
rnacentral:rRNA from 1 species